CUAACAUGGCUUAUUUAUUCCUCUUCUCCGUGAACUUAUUAUAGGCCACUUACUCAAUAUGGACACGGAAUUGUACCACAUUUUACAAUUUCUUUUUCUUCUUUUUUCUCUUCAUUGUUAUGUUCAAGUCACUACUCAAAAUGCUUCACUUCCAAACACUUUGGAAUUGCAACACCAUCCUUGUUCCAUUGACUGGCCUUACAUAUGAGUGAAACCUUUCAAAUGUGCUCUCAAGUCCAAAACAUUCAUAUCGAUGCUUUAUACUUUCAUCAAUUUGUUCAAAAAGUUUGGCGAAGAUGUUUGGGUCUUGAGAGUACAUGUGAAAUGUUACUCUUGAAUAUUAAGCCCAAUACAUGGAAUCAAGUUGGAGACCAAUUCUGUGUUUGGAAGAUAAAGAUUUGGUGAAAGAGAAAAGAAGCAUUAAAGGAAAAUAUGGUGCUUUGUUCUGGGGUGUGUAUGUGGCUUAUAAUAGUUGAUUGAGAAAGCAGGAUUGGUGAUUUUUGGUAAAAUAAUCCCAACAAAGUUCAUCAGUGACUAUAAGAAUUUGAAUCAGAGUAGUCCUUAUCAAUUUAAAGGUAACAAUCUGCUCAAGCUAUUUUAUCUUAUUUUGUUUCUUGUUUUCUAUUAUUCUUGUUUGUUCAAAAAGAAUUUUGGUGAUUAUAUGUUUCCCCAUUUUAUUGAUCCUAUUAGAAUAUACUUCCUGUGUAGUUCAUAUAUACUUCUGAUUCAAAAAUUAUUAUGCCUUGCAAUAACAGGGAACACCAAUGUUAAUGUUAAUGUCAUUUUUUUAUUGAAUUGCUGGAGAAAAUAUAAGCAUAGUUGUUCAGUUUCUUGCACUCUUAAUUCUAAGAAUUGGAUUAUUUUUCUUUGGAUGGUUGUUUACUUCGUCCUAAAUAUAAUGCUGCAUAGUCAAGCACUCCUGCCACAUAAAAUAGGCCCCAGAUUUAGAAUUAAAGAAUCACAGAUUAUAAUUUUGAAACACUACAGUAUUAUAUUUUUGGUAUAAAUAUGGAGUAAUCUACAACCAACAAAAUAUACUUUACAUGACUAUAAUAUUACAAACACUAUAAUUAGAAGUCAUAAAACUGAAUUAGGAUUUACAUCAGAACUAAUAUGUAACACUGUAACCACGAAUUCAAGUCGUAGAAAUGAAAUCUGUAAGUGUUGUCUGCCUCAUGUUAGGCUGCCUACAUUACAACACUUUUUGGGUAUCGAUGCUUCCCUUUUUUUUAUAGAGCGAUUAGUAUUGUUAGAGUAACUCAACUCUAAAAGCUAGCUAUUGAGGUGAACGAUGUCUAAUUUCUUGUAAUAAAAGCUUCCCGCCCAGACUUUAUAUCUGAACAAUUUUGGACUCUAACAAGUAACACUAGUAUAAGAGGAAAGUAGGAUACAACAUAGAAGAGACACAAAUUGUACAUUUUUAUAGCCAUGGGCUACGGCACAAACAUUACUCCAGAAAGGGUGGUUCCUGAACAUGUUGACUGAGUUUAAGUUAUCCAUUGUAUUAUAUAUCUAGAAAAAGCAUAGAACUGGACGUUGCAUUUAUUAUUAUUGCUUUUUUUUUUUUGUCUGAGAUAAAGCAAGAGUUUCUAGACUUGCAAUGAGUGAAACAAGUGUGUUAAGAGUUGAGUAAUUGUGGAGUAAGUUCAACAAGGCUUCAUUAGUAGGAUUUAGGAGCUACGCCAGGAAAAACUGUUCCAAUUCAGUGAGUCAAAUUUUCUUUCCCAUUUUUGUAUGCAAGAAAGCAGCUAUAGCCAAGAAAGUUUUGUAUCAGAAACUAGCAAGAUUGAUCAUUUUUUAAAUCAUUUUUAAUAUAAUAACAAUUGUUUUAAUAGUAUUUAUAUUUUGGACAGUUUAAACGAUUUUCAAGUUCAAUUACGCCAGAUAUCUUAAGAAACCAAUCGUACCUUGUAAAACAAUUAAACAAAAAUUCCGGUCUUUCUGCUUCCUGGAUUUGACUGAGAAGCUUAUGAGCUUGAAAUGUAAAUUUCUCUAUUGUUUUCUUCAUGUAUUCAGUAUUCAUCAAUAACAAUCACAACCAAAAGCACUAUGAAUCCAUGACAGAUUCAAAAGAACGAUUUAUAAGUUUUAACU
rnacentral:lncRNA from 1 species